GGAGAGAAGAAAGGUGGUUAAUAUUCAGGCACAGCUGAUUUCAGAGCCUCCCACCUUGGAAGCUUUACCCGCUGCCCCAUCAUUUUAAUUAGAACCAGUUUUGUGCCACCGACUGCAACUGGGGACAGCUGGGGAAGGCUGGAGGGGGUUUGCCUGCUGCUUCCAGCAGUGCCCUGCAGCAGAGAGGUGGGGAAGAAAAAGAGGGACAGCAAGAGAGAGAGAGAAACUUGUCUGCUACACCGGGCUCUUAACCUCCCAAAGAGGCUGCCAGGGUCUCUGAGCAGCACCAUGGUAGGAGCUGUUUUAUUGCCUGUGGGCAGUGGUUUGUUUGGAGAAGAGGAAGCCUGACUGUGCAGAGCAGGGGGCGCGCUGCGGCCUUCAGGCCUGGGGCUCGCUCCAUAAACAUUUUGCAUUGAAAUAUCCUCAGUCAGGCCCUAGCCGGGACUGAUGUGAGCUGGAGGUGUUGAAGAAGGAUGGAGAACACUGCACAUGGUGUGGAAGAGCAGCAUCGACUUCAGAGCUUGCUCUGGGACUUUGCAUUUGGGGUCGAGGCCUAUAGGGCCCAGCCUGUGGCUUGCUGCAGGGUCCUUUCUGGGCCACCAGCAUGCCAAUAUCAAACUGCUGAUAUGCUACACAUCAUGAUUUGGCCCAGGGGGUGCAAUGUCAGCAGAGCUCUUGCCUGUGGUUGUGCUUGGGACAGGCGAGCAGGAGGAUGGGAUGUAGGCUGGACGGGGUGCUGUGCGGCUGGGGUGACAGCCCAAAGGGCCACAACCCCCAGAAAAGGUCUGCUUGCAUCUGCUGGAAAAUAAGCCACGCUGGUUUUAAUGAAAGCAAGGAGGAUUUACUCAAACUGCCCCAAACUGCAGCUGAGGACUGGAAGGAAAGGGUUGCAAGCUCUUGCACUCCCCUCACAGACUGAUCUUGGCUGUGGUGCUGUAAGAAAUGGGGCUGUUGCUAACCAUAAAAUAAAGGCAAGGAUAUUUAUACCCACAUUUUUCCAGCCAUUAAGACACAGUUUUACAGUUUUCUUCUAACUGAAAAAAAGCAACUGGAAACGCCUUUCCUCUGCAUGCGCAAGGCACAUACUCAAAAUGCAGUUGUUCAGCAGAACAGCUUCGGUGUUCACAAAAUUGAGGCAAUCAGAAAAAUUUCCAAUCCUAAGUAUGGAGAAAAGAAUAAAAAUAGGCCUGAAAAUUUUGGCUCAGCUCCCCAGUCCGGCUCUGUUCACUUCCACCCAGAGAAGAGCACAUCCUGAUCUGAUGAAUUAAUGAUCCUCUUCACUCAAGACGCCAGGAAGAAGCUGACCUUGGUGCACUGGCGCAGUGCGAGUGUUGGGCUGCCACCUCCAUUCAAACCCACUGCAGGGUUUGCAGCUUCAUUCCGAGAUGGGAGAAAGUGGUACAAAAAAUCAUGCACAAUGUGCAUGAAGAGGGCACAACUAUUUUUCUUCAGGGAGUCAGUUUCCUAGAGAAGUCCAUGAGCAGCAGAACACAGGACACCAGCCCUACUUUCUCCAGCUGGGAUCACAAAUGCAAGGCUUCGAUGCAACUCAGAGCUCAAGACCCCUUUAGCUAUAUUGGAGGAUUCAGGACCCCAGAAGGGUCCUUUCUUUACACUAGCCCAUAAUAUGAGGUCCACACUGUGCUGAAGGUGACAAGCUCUUGAGCCACCAUAGAUGCUUCCAUGCAAAGGUGGGGACACACAAGCAAACAUGGAGAUUCCCUAUUUCUGCUGUAGGGUGGUGGGCAUGGGAGAUUCAUGAUGGAAAAAAAAAUGCUUUACGGAAAAUACAGUUAUUAAAAAAGUGUGUUAAUCAGCCACAUACUUGACCUAAAAUUUAAUCUGAACUGAGCACUCAGUCUAACCUGCCAUUACAAGAGCAGCUUGGAAAACUGCUACUGCAUUGCAUGAA